rnacentral:tRNA from 1 species
UUUUUGAAAGCGAAAUCUCGCACUAAGUUUCGACCUUAGCUAUGAACUUUUUUCUCAAAAAA